GAACACGGAAGAUGAAAAUACUCGAGAAUGCUUCCAUAAUCCUCUUGGAUCAGACAUUUGAGCAACCUAAUUUGGUGGGCACAACACAGCGUUAAAAUACACGAAAAAGAUAUCCAAAUAAUCAAUUUAGAUUUCUGAAACCACAGGACAAGCAAGAUUGAGCCAACCCAGAUCACGUUUCUACUGUCUUCAGGAAAUGAGAAAAAUGAAUCCAGGAAAUUUCCAUCUUUAACUAUACUCUGUAAAUGUGCUGUCCAAUACACAGAUAGCUACUGAGCACUGGAAUAUAGCUAGUCUGAAUGGAGAUGUUCUAUUCACACUCUAUGUGAUGCCUUCUGCCAUGGGAUGUCCCUCACCAGAUUCUAGUGCCAUGCUCUUGGACUUCCUAGCCUCCAGAACCAUAAGCCAAAUAAACUUUAGUUCUUUGUAAAUUACCCAAUCUGUGGUAUUCUGUUAUAGCAGCAGAAAAUGAAGUAGAACAUUGAGUCACUUCCCUAAUCUAGACUGGCCAACUCUUUGCAAUUAUGAUCUUAUUAUUCAAUUUUUGAUUUCAGGAACUCUUUCUCCUUUCUACUCCUAAGGAUAAUAGAAUACAUUUUAGUCUUUUGUUUAUGAGAGCAAGUAUACAUUAAUUUUUUUUUUCUUUUAGAGUUUCAUGACAGUUGUUAACAUAACUGGAGACCCCCUGAAGUGUGACAAGAAAAAAAUUAUUGCUCUAACUGUAGGGUGGUUGUAGCUACAUCUGAAUAAGACACUUUUGGAAAAUGAGAUAGUAAUCCCCUACAAAUUCUUUGCUGGAGUUCUUAGAUCUGUAGAAGUAGUUUCAUCAUGCAUUGUGAUUAUUUGGGAAAGUCCUAUUGUGCCUUUUUAAGAUGAUAGUGUGGAGCUGAUGGGGGAAAAUAAUCAGGAACAGCUGGAGGCUUUGAAAGUGUUUUCAUGAGCAGAAAAAUUCCAUGC
rnacentral:lncRNA from 1 species